AGUGAACGCUGGCGGUAGGCCUAACACAUGCAAGUCGAACGGCAGCACAGUAAGAGCUUGCUCUUACGGGUGGCGAGUGGCGGACGGGUGAGGCAUACAUCGGAAUCUACUUUUUCGUGGGGGAUAACGUAGGGAAACUUACGCUAAUACCGCAUCUGACCUACGGUUGAAACCAGGGGAUCUUCGUCCCUUGCGCGAUUGAAUGAGCCGAUGUCGGCUUAGCUAGUUGGCGGGGUCAAGGCCCACCAAGGCGACGAUCCGUAGCUGGUCUGAGGGGAUGAUCAGCCGCAGUGGAACGGGGACGCGGUCCAAACUCCGAAGGGAGGCAGCGUCGGGGAAUAUUGGGCAAGGGGCGGAAGCCAGUUCCAGCCAUACCGCGUGGGUGAAAAGGGCCUUCGGGGUGUAAAGCCCUUUUGUUGGGAAGGAAAAGCAGUAGGUUAAUACCCCGCUGUUCUGACGGUACCCAAAGAAUAAGCACCGGCUAACUUCGUG
rnacentral:rRNA from 1 species